UACGGGGGGGGCAAGCGUUGUUCGGAAUUACUGGGCGUAAAGGGCUCGUAGGUGGCCAACUAAGUCAGACGUGAAAUCCCUCGGCUUAACCCGGGAACUGCGUCCGAUACUGGAAGGCUUGAAUCCGGGAGAGGGAUGCGGAAUUCCUGGUGUAGCGGUGAAAUGCGCAGAUAUCAGGAGGAACACCGGUGGCGAAGGCGGAUCUCUGGGCCUUACCUGACGCUCAGGUGCGAAAGCUAGGGGAGCGAACAGG
rnacentral:rRNA from 1 species